CGGCGGCCGUAACUAUAACGGUCCUAAGGUAGCGAAAUUCCUUGUCGGGUAAGUUCCGACCUGCACGAAUGGUGUAACGAUCUGGGUACUGUCUCAACCGCGAGCUCGGUGAAAUUGUAGUAUCGGUGAAGAUGCCGAUUACCCGCAACGGGACGAAAAGACCCCGUGAACCUUUACUAUAGCUUUGCAUUGGAUUUGGGUAACAAAUGUGUAGGAUAGGCCGGAGACUGAGAAGCGGGUACGCCAGUAUUCGUGGAGUCGCCGUUGAAAUACGGCCCUUUUGUUAUUUGGGUUCUAACUCGCGGGAGCGAGGACAUUGCAUGGUGGGUAGUUUGACUGGGGUGGUCGCCUCCAAAAGUGUAACGGAGGCUUCUAAAGGUACCCUCAGACCGAUUGGUAACCGGUCGUAGAGUGUAAUGGCACAAGGGUGCUUGACUGGGAGACUAACAAGUCGCACAGGUAGGAAACUAGAGCAUAGUGAUCCGGUGGUUCCGUAUGGAAGGG
rnacentral:rRNA from 1 species